CCUACGGGUGGCAGCAGUGAGGAAUAUUGGGCAAUGGGGGCAACCCUGACCCAGCCAUGCCGCGUGAGUGAAGAAGGUCUUCGGAUUGUAAAGCUCUUUCGGACGUGACGAUGAUGACGGUAGCGUCUAAAGAAGCACCGGCAAACUUCGUGCCAGCAGCCGCGGUAAUACGAAGGGUGCGAGCGUUGUUCGGAAUUACUGGGCGUAAAGGGAGUGUAGGCGGAUAUGUAAGAUAGCGGUGAAAUGCCGGGGCUCAACCCCGGAACUGCUCUUGGAACUGCGCGGCUGGAGUGCAGGAGGGGCAGGCGGAAGUCCUGGUGUAGCGGUGAAAUGCGUAGAUAUCAGGAGGAACACCAGUGGCGAAGGCGGCCUGCUGGACUGCGACUGACGUUGAGGCCCGAAAGCGUGGGGAGCAAACAGGAUUAGAUACCCGAGUAGUC
rnacentral:rRNA from 1 species